UACGUAGGGUGCAAGCGUUGUCCGGAAUUAUUGGGCGUAAAGAGCUCGUAGGCGGUCUGUCGCGUCGGCUGUGAAAACCCGGAGCUCAACUCCGGGCCUGCAGUCGAUACGGGCAGACUGGAGUUCGGCAGGGGAGACUGGAAUUCCUGGUGUAGCGGUGAAAUGCGCAGAUAUCAGGAGGAACACCGGUGGCGAAGGCGGGUCUCUGGGCCGAUACUGACGCUGAGGCGCGAAAGCGUGGGGAGCGAACAGG
rnacentral:rRNA from 1 species